rnacentral:rRNA from 1 species
CCUACGGGUGGCAGCAGUGAGGAAUAUUGGUCAAUGGGCGCGAGCCUGAACCAGCCAAGUAGCGUGAAGGAUGACUGCCCUACGGGUUGUAAACUUCUUUUAUAAAGGAAUAAAGUGAGGCACGUGUGCCCUUUUGUAUGUACUUUAUGAAUAAGCAUCGGCUAACUCCGUGCCAGCAGCCGCGGUAAUACGGAGGAUCCGAGCGUUAUCCGGAUUUAUUGGGUUUAAAGGGAGCGGAGAUGGGUUGUUAAGUCAGUUGUGAAAGUUUGCGGCUCAACCGUAAAACUGCAAUUGAUACUGGCAGCCUUGAGUACGGUUGAGGUAGGCGGAAUGCGUGGUGUAGCGGUGAAAUGCUUAGAUAUCACGAAGAACUCCGAUUGCGAAGGCAGCUUGCUAAACUGCCACUGACGUUGAGGCUCGAAAGUGUGGGUAUCGAACAGGAUUAGAUACCCUUGUAGUC